GGGGCCAUAGCUCAGUUGGUAGAGCGCUUGCAUGGCAUGCAAGAGGUCGUCGGUUCGACUCCGUCUGGCUCCACCA
rnacentral:tRNA from 1 species